AAGAUCUCAUCCUGGUGUCCCAUUCCAGUGUCCCCAAUGUCCCAUUCCAGUGUCCCCUGGCUGUCCCUGCUGUCACAGGGUGAAGAUCUUGUCCUGGUGUCCCAUUCCAGUGUCCCCAGUGUCCCAUUCCAGUGUCCCCAAUGUCCCAUUCCAGUGUCCCCAAUGUCCCAUUCCAGUGUCCCCUGGCUGUCACAGGGUGAAGAUCUCGUCCUGCUGUCCCAUUCCAGUGUCCCCAGUGUCCCCUGGCUGUCACAGGGUGAAGAUCUCGUCCUGGUGUCCCCAAUGUCCCAUUUCAGUGUCCCCANUGUCCCCUGGCUGUCACAGGGUGAAGAUCUCGUCCUGGUGUCCCAUUCCAGUGUCCCAAAUGUCCCGUUCCAGUGUCCCCUCGCUGUCCCUGCUGUCACAGGGUGAAGAUCUCAUCCUGCUGUCCCAUUCCAGUGUCCCCAAUGUCCCCUGGCUGUCACAGGGUGAAGAUCUCGUCCUCGGCGUCGCGCAGCGCGGCCGCCCGCGGGCUCCGGCUCAGGGGCCGGGGUCCCAGGCGGGCGCCCCGGGGGGACGCGGGGCCGGGG
rnacentral:lncRNA from 1 species